UACGAAGGGGGCUAGCGUUGCUCGGAAUCACUGGGCGUAAAGCGCACGUAGGCGGAUUGCUAAGUCAGGGGUGAAAUCCUGGAGCUCAACUCCAGAACUGCCCUUGAUACUGGCGGUCUCGAGUCCGGGAGAGGUGAGUGGAACUGCGAGUGUAGAGGUGAAAUUCGUAGAUAUUCGCAAGAACACCAGUGGCGAAGGCGGCUCACUGGCCCCGGUACUGACGCUGAGGUGCGAAAAGCGUGGGGGAGCAAACAGGG
rnacentral:rRNA from 1 species